GCAUAUAANUAAGCGGNGGAAAAGAAACUAACUNGGAUUNCCNUNNGUAANNNNGAGNGANNNGNGAAAAGCUCAAUUUUGAANUCUACCANGAGUAGCAUUCUNGGUNGAAUNGUAGUUUCANGAANGAANGACNNNGNGAAGCCGGUUNGGAUGCAAGUUCUUNGGAAUGNGACAUCAGAGANGGNGACAAUCCCGUCCAUCGUCCAUCCGUUGAUANGAAUGCUUCUCACCAAAAGGUCGUCUUUUCCAAGNGUCGAGUUGUUNGGGAUNGCAGCUCAAAAUGGGNGGUAAAUUUCAUCUAAGGCUAAAUAUGGGUGAGAGACCGAUAGCGAACAAGUACCGUGAGGGAAAGAUGAAAAGCACUCUGAAGAGAGAGUGAAAAGUACGUGAAAUUGUUGAAAGGGAAACGCUUGAAACCAGUCGAGGUUUGCUAGAUUUCAGGGGAGUUUUUCUCAUGUGUUGGGCGAGAUUGGCGUGGAGAUCUGUUUGUGUUUGUAUGGACAGACUUUUGCGCCAGCUUUUUAGCCUGAUCAUGCUCUCUGUACGUUUCUAGUAAACAAGUCAGCAUCAGUUUGAUUUUGCGCUUGGGAGAAGGACAAGUAGGAUUUGGUCGGGCUUUUGUGGGGGGAUUUUUUCUCUCUUGCAAAGGUUUGGAGCCUUGCUUGUCAUAUACCAAGUGUCAGACUGAGGAUUGCAUUACAGGGCAUUGACUUGGAAUAGGCAAUCUUGCGGGGUUGCUCUUGGUAAACAGCUUGCUGAUUGCCAAGGGUUUUUCAACUCCCAAGCCUUGUCAAAUCCAGGCUGGUCUUUGAUUU
rnacentral:rRNA from 1 species